rnacentral:rRNA from 1 species
CCUACGGGAGGCAGCAGUGAGGAAUAUUGGUCAAUGGGCGCGAGCCUGAACCAGCCAAGUAGCGUGAAGGAUGACUGCCCUACGGGUUGUAAACUUCUUUUAUAAAGGAAUAAAGUGAGGCACGUGUGCCUUUUUGUGUGUACUUUAUGAAUAAGGAUCGGCUAACUCCGUGCCAGCAGCCGCGGUAAUACGGAGGAUCCGAGCGUUAUCCGGGUUUAUUGGGUUUAAAGGGAGCGUAGAUGGGUUGUUAAGUCAGUUGUGAAAGUUUGCGGCUCAACCGUAAAAUUGCAAUUGAUACUGGCAGCCUUUAGUACAGUUUAGGGAGGGGGAAUUCGUGGUGGAGCGGGGAAAUGGUUAGAUAUCACGAAGAACUCCGAUUGCGAAGGGAGCUUACUAAACUGCC